rnacentral:lncRNA from 1 species
GUGUAGAGAUACUAGAGUGAGAGUGUAGGUGGUUGUUAGAAAAUAAGGGUACCGAGUAUGACCAACACAAGUAGUCACUUGGAUAUCUACCUUAUUGUCAAUGACAUACUCAAUGCUGCAGUAGUGUGAAUAGUUAUUUGACCUGCGAUACCUCAAAUAUUCAUAAUGAGAUUACUGUAGUUUGACUGUACUAUAACUCGAUCUCUUAGCCAUACAGAAUUUUGAGGUAUAUGUUGGCUGCAGUACAUUCAUUGUUGGAAUAGAAUAUGCACUUAGAUAAAAUCUAUCAAUCUUGGUAGAUAAGGAGAAGUCCUAUAUGGAUCAUGACACUGAGUUUCGAAGUCCAUGGAAAUGACAGUAUGAAUGAUGGAAAGAAAUUUUCAUAAGAUUUUAUAAGAACUCAAAUUGAUUGAAUCUAACAUAUGACAGAGAUAAGGUUUGAUGAGUUAUUUAUAACCUCCAUCUCGUUGGGACUCA